GGACCGGUAGCUCAGUGGUAGAGCGGCAGAUUGCAGAUCUGAAGGUGGCUGGUUCGAUUCCGGCUCGGUCCU